rnacentral:antisense_RNA from 1 species
AUUAUCACUAGGUAUGUCACUAGUUGGUGUGUUGUUACCACUAGGUUCAAGUACCA